ensembl:lncRNA
UCAGGAGUGUUACAUUUUAUUUGGUCUUAUCUCUUUUUGAGCUUUUUUUUCCUUUGUUUUUUUUCCACAGGUUAAAACCCCUUAUAACAGUCAAGAGAAAUAAAAACAUUUUUCACAAACUGUAUACAGAAAUAAUCCUCUUGACGCACAAUAAAAACAGUUGAUUAGGCCCAGCCCAGUGCGAGAUUUCACAAAAAUGCAACAAAAAACGAAUUUUCAAAGCCCGACAACUUGCAAAAAAAACCUCUAACUCGCAUGAGCAGAGGCAGUUCUGAGAGAGAUGUAAAAAUGGCUGCCAGGGCAAUGCAACAGUUGUGUUAUCACAUCGCCGAGGUUGUAAUAAAAGACAAAAUAGACAUAGAAAUUAAUCUGGAACAAUUACAAUAAAAGCAAAUAGAUACAAAGACGGGGAGAAGGUCGAGCUCGUCUGCUACGUUAAGGUAGUUACAAGUAGUUACCUUUUCUCCAUCUUAGCAGUUUUAUGCACAUAAAAAUUCAGUAUGGGUGCCUCAAGGGGACAUUAGGCUGCAAUUUAGGUUUGGGUUUUUUGCUGCAAUGUACACAAAGAACCGGGUUUCUGCUACACAAACACUGGGGUGCGCAGACAAAUCAGAUUUGGUCAAAUUGGAAGAACUGGAAUGUAAAGUUAAUCUGCCUCAUGUGAAGCACCCAUACAUGCAUCUUAAAAAACUCCAGUGAAAACCUAAAAAAAAAUGGUUUUGUUCAUAUGAAAUCAUCCUAAUGUAGACUGCGUCCAUGGCCAUCUUGAAAGAGAAAUAAUCCAGUGUGUAAAAAGAUGGCCAUUUAUAAAUAUCCACUCCUCCCCCCAUGUAUAGAAAUGUUGUGAAUGUUCUUAGCAGGCUGGUGGGAAGCUGUCAGAAGGAAAAGCCUUUUACAGUACUGUGAUGCUGCGAGUUGAAGAGAUUUGACCAGUGAGUCAUGGGGAUUUGUACCAUCCAAAACCAUUUCAAAUUGUCUGCAUGGAUCAUUUAGAGUUCAGUUAUUUAAGCCCAACCACAAGCACCUGAAAGAGACCUCCUGCUGUUAAAUACCCAAAAGCCUCAGGCAAACACUUUACCUGGAAUUAUAGCUGCGCCUUUGAAGACGUUAAUCAGGUGAAAUGUCAGACGUUUAGUCACUUAGCUGAUCAUUAAAUUUGUUAGCAUUGAUUUGCACACAAAUGCUGUUGGCAGCGCUAAACAGAGCGGUGGCGCUUUUACCCUUCCUGCCUGUCAUUUUAUCCACGAUCCUGUCAUACACUGACGAUACUGGAAAUACAAGCCGCAACGUAAAAGCUCAAUGCAACAGGCAAGAUUCUAGACUUGGCACAUGGGUUGUCAAUGGAAAACAGAAGUUCUAUGACAGCCCAGUUGCAUAUUCUUCACCACUAAGGAAAGCACAGAGCUAUAAUGUGAAACUUUCUUAAAUAACCCAAAACAAAUCCUGUAAUAAAGUCAAGAUAAACUGGCCAGAACUAGCACAGUGAAAGCAUAGUCCUGACAGUGAAGUACGGAAGUUGGAGUGUGAUAAAACAGGGCUGCCUGAGUGUAAAAGGUCUUGGGGGGGAUGACACUUUGACACUAUCAAAACAUCUACAGAGAAGAAUUUAGUCUGUUAAUCAGAAUAAAGUAUUGACAAAUUAAUAGAUUUAAAUCUCAUUCAUGGAAGAUGUACUGACUCUUGUUGCAGUGGGUUCCUACUGUGAGGAUGGAUUUAUAAUGUGGUUAAUCUAAACUAAAUGAGAUCAGACACUUUUAAUUACCUUGAGGUGACACAAUUUUGAAUCGUCUCAGAUUUAGGUGACACAGGAGAGCAUGCAAUUCUGUUUUAUAUGGUAGCUUAUGGACUCCAAUUCAUAAUAAGACACCAAAUGAUUUAAACCCUGUGUCGUCCUGCGGGUCAAAAUUGACUCGUUUUAAAGUUUGAAAAUGUGGAAAAAAAAUAGAUAUUCACAGUGAAACUUCUGAUGUCCACAUUUUCAGCAUUUUUGGGAAAUCUUUGAACAUUUUUCGGUGGAAAAAAAAGAAAUGUUAAAAAUGUUUUUUAAUAACAUUCACAAAAAAAUCAACC